CCUGCUCCAUGCUCCUGGGUCUCCUCUGGGAGCUCAUCAGGACCAUGGUGGAAUGGUCAGAAGUGGAACAUGAUGUCCUCUUCCCAGGGUACAGCCACCUGCAGAGGGCCAAGCCCCUCCACUGGAGCCACUGGAUUCUGAGGGGGAGAGGGCCAGGC